GGAAGGAUCAUUGUUGUUUCCUAUUGGAUAGACCUGCGAACAUGUUAUCUUUGCUCCCUCAUGCAGAGGGGAGCAUUCAUGCCUUGACAGGGCGUGGUGCUUUCCUUUGUUACUGGCCUUUUGUCCUUGCUCUGGACAUUUGUCUCCACUGGGGAUGGUGCUUCGAGCAAGUGCAAGGCCAAACUUAACAAAAAAAUCGGCGUUUUUAAGCGCCAAGGAACUUUUGAUUGAAAGGAGAGGGCAUCCCGCCUCACGAAAGUGUGGGUGGAGACAUCCCUUUUCCCCUUCCAUUAUAACGACUCUCGGCAACGGAUAUCUUGGCUCCCGCCACGAUGAAGAACGUAGCGAAAUGCGAUACUUGGUGUGAAUUGCAGAAUCCCGUGAAUCAUCGAGUUUUUGAACGCAAGUUGCGUCCGAGGCCAUUUGGCUAAGGGCACGCCUGCCUGGGCGUCAAGCUUCGCAUCGCCCUUCCCAUGUCCUUUUGUUUUCGGGCUUAAGGCUGAGGUAGAGCGGAGGACUGGCCUUCGGCGUGAGCCUUCAGGCGCGCCGUUGGUUGAAACAUUUUGGCUUACGACGAUUGGUUGUUGGGCACGCUAAGCGGUGGAUUUGCCAGUGAGUUGUGCCUCAGCUGAUCGAGAAGGCCCAUGGGACUCUUGAGGCAAGCGGCUUAGGUUUCUUGCUUCGGCUUUAGCGACCCCAGGUCAG
rnacentral:sRNA from 1 species